CAAGUCGAACGGCAGCACAGAGGAGCUUGCUCCUUGGGUGGCGAGUGGCGGACGGGUGAGGAAUGCAUCGGAAUCUGCCUAUUUGUGGGGGAUAACGUAGGGAAACUUACGCUAAUACCGCAUACGUCCUACGGGAGAAAGUGGGGGACCUUCGGGCCUCACGCAGAUAGAUGAGCCGAUGCCGGAUUAGCUAGUUGGCGGGGUAAAGGCCCACCAAGGCGACGAUCCGUAGCUGGUCUGAGAGGAUGAUCAGCCACACUGGAACUGAGACACGGUCCAGACUCCUACGGGAGGCAGCAGUGGGGAAUAUUGGACAAUGGGCGCAAGCCUGAUCCAGCCAUGCCGCGUGUGUGAAGAAGGCCUUCGGGUUGUAAAGCACUUUUGUCCGGAAAGAAAAGCGCUCGAUUAAUACUCGGGUGUUAUGACGGUACCGGAAGAAUAAGCACCGGCUAACUUCGUGCCAGCAGCCGCGGUAAUACGAAGGGUGCAAGCGUUACUCGGAAUUACUGGGCGUAAAGCGUGCGUAGGUGGUUUGUUAAGUCUGAUGUGAAAGCCCUGGGCUCAACCUGGGAACUGCAUUGGAAACUGGCUUACUAGAGUGCGGUAGAGGGGUGUGGAAUUCCCGGUGUAGCAGUGAAAUGCGUAGAUAUCGGGAGGAACAUCUGUGGCGAAGGCGACACCCUGGACCAGCACUGACACUGAGGCACGAAAGCGUGGGGAGCAAACAGGAUUAGAUACCCUGGUAGUCCACGCCCUAAACGAUGCGAACUGGAUGUUGGGGGCAACUUGGCCCUCAGUAUCGAAGCUAACGCGUUAAGUUCGCCGCCUGGGAAGUACGGUCGCAAGACUGAAACUCAAAGGAAUUGACGGGGGCCCGCACAAGCGGUGGA
rnacentral:rRNA from 1 species